GCCUGCGGCCACACCACCCUGAAUGUGCCCGAUCUCGUCUGAUCUCGGAAGCUAAGCAGCGUUGGGUCU
rnacentral:rRNA from 1 species